CCCACUUGAUUUUCAGCGUAAUUCAAAUAAGGUACAGCCUAUUUGAAACAGGAUACAACCUAAGCCAGUGGAUAAGAUCAGCCUCAUAUAUAACCAAGUGGGCCUAAGAGCAGCCAUCUUUAAUAAAUGCGUCAAAGCUUAGUUAUUAUACUGCUUAAUAAUUAAAUUUUUAUCUCAAUCCCUAAGCAAUACUGAGUAAUUCUAUAUUCUUAUAGAAAAUUUUAUGUUAAAACUAGUAACAAGAAGAAAACCCUUCUCUUAAAUGCAAGUGUGAAUCAGAAAGGAUAAGCCACUGACACUUAACAUCCCUGAGCCUAAAGUAGCAACCAACCAAGAAAACCCUACUCUUAUCUAUGUCAACCUAACACAAGAGCAUUACAAGAAAGAUUAAAAGAAAAAGAAGGAACUCGGCAAAUUUUAACCCCGCCUGUUUACCAAAAACAUCGCCUCUUGAGCCCCUAUAAGAGGUCUAGCCUGCCCAGUGACCCUGUUCAACGGCCGCGGUAUCCUAACCGUGCGAAGGUAGCGUAAUCACUUGUUCUUUAAAUGUGGACUAGUAUGAAUGGCAUCACGAAGGUUAUACUGUCUCCUCUUUCUAAUCAGUGAAACUAAUCUCCCCGUGAAGAAGCGGGGAUAAAAAUAUAAGACGAGAAGACCCUAUGGAGCUUUAAACAAAAUAGCACUUAUCACACUAAAUAAAAAAUUCCAGAAUUACUAAACUUCUAGGUAAUCUGACUAUAAGUUUUUGGUUGGGGUGACCGCGGAGCACAACAUAACCUCCAUGUUGAAAAGAAAGUUUCUAAGCUAAGACCCACAUCUCUAAGCAUCAAAAUAUUGACAUCCAUUGACCCAAUAAAUUUGAACAACGAACCAAGUUACCCUAGGGAUAACAGCGCAAUCCACUUCAAGAGCUCCUAUCGACAAGUGGGUUUACGACCUCGAUGUUGGAUCAGGGUCUCCCAGUGGUGCAGCCGCUACUAAA
rnacentral:rRNA from 1 species